UCUAUUUUCAUUGAGGAACUUAUACGGGUUUUUUGCUGAUGUUAAAGAGGUGCGGUCUAGUCAAAUGGUGACAAAUAAUGGCAGACAUAUACCUUCAUCAAAUAAUGGCAGACCUGUACCUUCAUCAAAUAAUGGCAGACAUGUACCUUCUGCAAAUAAUGGCAGACAUGUACUUUCAGCAAAUAAUGGUAGACAUAUACCUUCAGCAAAUAAUGGCAGACCUGUACCUUCAGCAAAUAAUGGCAGACAUUUACCUUCAGCAAAUAAUGGCAGACAUGUAC
rnacentral:lncRNA from 1 species